AGUGAACGCUGGCGGUAUGCCUAACACAUGCAAGUCGAACGAGUGGCGGACGGGUGAGGAAUACAUCGACAUCUACUCUGUCGUGGGGGAUAACGUAGGGAAACUUACGCUAAUACCGCAUACGAUUGAAUGGGCAGAUGUCGGAUUAGCUAGUUGGCGGGGUAAAGGCACACAAAGGCGACAAUCCGUAGCUGGUCUGAGAGGAUGAUCGGCCACACUGGAACUGAGACACGGUCCAGACUCCUACAGGAGGCAGCAGUGGGGAAUAUUGGACAAUGGGCGCAAGCCUGAUCCAGCCAUACCGCGUGGGUGAAGAAGGCCUUCGGGUUGUAAAGCCCUGUUGUUGGGAAAGCGGUACCCAAAGAAUAAGCACCGGCUAACUUCGUGCCAGCAGCCGCGGUAAUUC
rnacentral:rRNA from 1 species